rnacentral:tRNA from 1 species
GCCCCUGUAGCUCAGUGGUUUAGAGCAUCGUGCUUAUAGUGUGACUCCAAUCAAUAUGGAACAUUCUAUGAAAAUUGGCCCUUCAAAAGGUCGUUUCAAAGCAACGCGAUAGUCGUGGGUUCAAACCCCACCAGGGGCA